rnacentral:rRNA from 1 species
UAUGGACUCAGGAUGAACGCUAGCGGCAGGCUUAACACAUGCAAGUCGAGGGGCAGCGGGAUGUAGCAAUACAUUGCCGGCGACCGGCGGAUGGGUGCGUAACGCGUAUGCAACCUACCUUAUACAGGGGAAUAACCUUUCGAAAGGGAGACUAACACCCCAUGGUAUUGAUUUAAGGCAUCUUAGAUUAAUUAAAUAUUUAUAGGUAUAAGAUGGGCAUGCGUAUGAUUAGCUAGUUGGUAAGGUAACGGCUUACCAAGGCGACGAUCAUUAGGGGUUCUGAGAGGAAGGUCCCCCACACUGGUACUGAGACACGGACCAGACUCCUACGGGAGGCAGCAGUGAGGAAUAUUGGUCAAUGGGCGCAAGCCUGAACCAGCCAUGCCGCGUGCAGGAAAGACGGCCUUAUGGGUUGUAAACUGCUUUUACAUAAGACUAACCGUAUAUUUGCGAAUAUACCUGAAUGUAUUAUGAGAAUAAGGAUCGGCUAACUCCGUGCCAGCCGCUGC